GUUGCGGUGGCCGAGUGGUUAAGGCAUUGGACUUGAAAUCCAAUGGGAUCUUCCCGCGCAGGUUCGAACCCAGCCCGCAACG
rnacentral:tRNA from 2 species